UACAGAGGUCCCAAGCGUUGUUCGGAUUCACUGGGCGUAAAGGGUGCGUAGGUGGCAUGGUAAGUUUGAUGUGAAAGCUCAGGGCUUAACCCUGAAAUGGCAUUGAAUACUACCGUGCUGGAGGUUUGGAGGGGGGACUGGAAUUCUUGGUGUAGCAGUGAAAUGCGUAGAUAUCAAGAGGAACACCAGUGGCGAAGGCGAGUCCCUGGACAACACCUGACACUGAGGACGAAAGCCGGGGGAGCAAACAGG
rnacentral:rRNA from 1 species